rnacentral:lncRNA from 1 species
UAGCACCUAGAUCCAGCUAUGCCCAAGGCCCUACUUCCGGAAGAAGAGGAGGAAAUGAAAUCCACAGAAAUCAAUCUGAAAACAUGGGCUGUUCUCCUAGCAAUCCUCAUAUACCUCUGGGGCAGAAAGGAAGCAUAAAAGGCUCACCUCCUUACACCAGGGAACUAACCGUCCAGCUGAGUGAGCAUGGUGCCUGCAUGGGCAAUGAAUGCUGCUUCAAGACAGCACAAAAGUGGAGGCCACGGUACCUAGCCAGCAUUAGGGCUGAAGGAUUUCAGCGAAGUGAGAGGUUUCUGUGGGCUGAGCAGAGCUUCAAGAGAGGAAGCAGGUUUAGAACUCAUGCAAACAUACACACGCACACACACACGGGAGCACUCAACCAAUAUUUGUGCCACCACCUUGUCCUGCAUCCUGCCACAGCUCUGUUUAACCCCCACCCCACGCCAUGCACAGAGUAGGCUUUGCUUUCCAUUAGGAAGACACUCGAGUCACCUGAUUCCCACCUGUCUGUCAAGCGCAGUUCCUGCUGCUCCCAUCACACUCACCUAGACAUGCACACCUGUGGGCCUUUGCAUCCUGCUCACCUGGACAUGUACACCUGUGGGCCUUUACAUCAAGCUUAUCUGAAUGUGCACACCUGUGGGGCAUUUACAUCAUGCUCACCUGGAUGUGCGCACCUGUGGGCCUUUGUAUUAUGCAUGCUUGGAUGCACAGAGAGGAAAACACAAGUUCACGGUGAGGCACAGCAGCAUCAUCGCGACAACAGAAGUAUUCAGAGCAUUUCUGCCUGGGUUCAUAUCUGCGUCUACCUCCUGCUACCUGCGUGACCUUAGCAACCCAGGGUUCCUCAGCUACUAAGGAGAUAACAUCAGUCCAGGCACUUGGCAAGGCUCAGUAAUAUAAUUUGAUCAUUCAUUCAUUCAACACAUAUUGAUUGAGUGCCCACUGAGCACCAAGCACUGUCUGAGGUACUGAGGAUGCAGCAGUGGAAUUAAGCAAUGUUUCUUGCUCCUGUGAAGCUUGCAUUCUAGGGGGCAAAACUCGACAUUCACCGUGGUAAGUAACUGAAAU